UAGGAGUAGUUCAACGGUAGAAUGUGAGUCUCCAAAACUCAAUAUAAGGGUUCAAUUCCCUUCUCUCUUAU
rnacentral:tRNA from 1 species